UUUACAGAAGAGUUAUGCUCGCAGAGAUUUGAAUUCUGAAAUGGGGACUACCCCCUGUAAAA
rnacentral:tRNA from 1 species